rnacentral:rRNA from 2 species
UAUACUGGUGAUCCAGCGAACGAAGGGAGCUUGCUCCCGGAUGUUAGCGGCGGACGGGUGAGUAACACGUGGGUAACCUGCCUGUAAGACUGGGAUAACUCCGGGAAACCGGAGCUAAUACCGGAUAGUUCCUUGAACCGCAUGGUUCAAGGAUGAAAGACGGUUUCGGCUGUCACUUACAGAUGGACCCGCGGCGCAUUAGCUAGUUGGUGGGGUAAUGGCUCACCAAGGCGACGAUGCGUAGCCGACCUGAGAGGGUGAUCGGCCACACUGGGACUGAGACACGGCCCAGACUCCUACGGGAGGCAGCAGUAGGGAAUCUUCCGCAAUGGACGAAAGUCUGACGGAGCAACGCCGCGUGAGUGAUGAAGGUUUUCGGAUCGUAAAGCUCUGUUGUUAGGGAAGAACAAGUGCGAGAGUAACUGCUCGCACCUUGACGGUACCUAACCAGAAAGCCACGGCUAACUACGUGCCAGCAGCCGCGGUAAUACGUAGGUGGCAAGCGUUGUCCGGAAUUAUUGGGCGUAAAGGGCUCGCAGGCGGUUUCUUAAGUCUGAUGUGAAAGCCCCCGGCUCAACCGGGGAGGGUCAUUGGAAACUGGGAAACUUGAGUGCAGAAGAGGAGAGUGGAAUUCCACGUGUAGCGGUGAAAUGCGUAGAGAUGUGGAGGAACACCAGUGGCGAAGGCGACUCUCUGGUCUGUAACUGACGCUGAGGAGCGAAAGCGUGGGGAGCGAACAGGAUUAGAUACCCUGGUAGUCCACGCCGUAAACGAUGAGUGCUAAGUGUUAGGGGGUUUCCGCCCCUUAGUGCUGCAGCUAACGCAUUAAGCACUCCGCCUGGGGAGUACGGUCGCAAGACUGAAACUCAAAGGAAUUUGACGGGGGCCCGCACAAGCGGUGGAGCAUGUGGUUUAAUUCGAAGCAACGCGAAGAACCUUACCAGGUCUUGACAUCCUCUGACACUCCUAGAGAUAGGUGCUUUCCCUUCGGGGAACAGAGUGACAGGUGGUGCAUGGUUGUCGUCA